UCAGGCCUAACACAUGCAAGUCGAGCGGGGUUUUCGGACCUAGCGGCGGACGGGUGAGUAAUGCGUAGGAAGCUGCCCGAUAGAGGGGGAUACCAGUUGGAAACGACUGUUAAUACCGCAUAAUGUCUACGGACCAAAGUGUGGGACCUUCGGGCCACAUGCUAUCGGAUGCGCCUACGUGGGAUUAGCUAGUUGGUGAGGUAAUGGCUCACCAAGGCGACGAUCUCUAGCUGGUUUGAGAGGAUGAUCAGCCACACUGGAACUGAGACACGGUCCAGACUCCUACGGGAGGCAGCAGUGGGGAAUAUUGGACAAUGGGCGCAAGCCUGAUCCAAAAGUGCCGCGUGUGUGAAGAAGGCCUUCGGGU
rnacentral:rRNA from 1 species